rnacentral:snRNA from 1 species
AUCGCUUCUCGGCCUUUUGGCUAAGAUCAAGUGUAAUAGGACUUACAAAGCUCUUUGAAUUACAAAGCUCUUUAAAGACGGGAAGCUGCCAAGCUCCCAAAAGCAGAUAUAGGUUUCCCAAAAAUCCUAAAAUUCCCUCAAAAACC